rnacentral:rRNA from 1 species
UACAGAGGGUGCAAGCGUUAAUCGGAAUUACUGGGCGUAAAGGGUGCGUAGGUGGUUUUUUAAGUCAGAUGUGAAAACCCUGGGCUUAACCUAGGAACUGCAUUUGAAACUGAAGAACUAGAGUGUGGAAGAGGGAAGUGGAAUUUCCGGUGUAGCGGUGAAAUGCGUAGAUAUCGGAAGGAACAUCAGUGGCGAAGGCGACUUCCUGGUCCAUUACUGACACUGAGGCACGAAAGCGUGGGGAGCAAACAGG